rnacentral:tRNA from 1 species
GGGGAUGUAGCUCAAUUGGGAGAGCGACGCCUUUGCACGGCGUAGGUUAUGGGUUCGAGUCCCUUCAUCUCCA